AUACGGAGGGUGCGAGCGUUAAUCGGAAUUACUGGGCGUAAAGCGCGCGUAGGCGGACUGAUCAGUUGGGGGUGAAAUCCCAGGGCUUAACCCUGGAACUGCCUCCAAUACUGUCAGUCUUGAGUUCGGGAGAGGUGAGUGGAAUUCCUAGUGUAGAGGUGAAAUUCGUAGAUAUUAGGAAGAACACCAGUGGCGAAGGCGGCUCACUGGCCCGAUACUGACGCUGAGGCGCGAAAGCGUGGGGAGCAAACAGGAUUAGAAACCCCGGUAGUCC
rnacentral:rRNA from 1 species